AGCCUCAUUCAAAAUGAGAAGUUGACCUGUUGAUUGUGCCCAAAAUUAGCCAAUGCGGCUUAAUCUGGGAACAGCUGAUUAUGAUUCCAUAAUAGCAAUGCAAUUGCAGUGGUGGCAAGAGAAACUGUAACAUUU
rnacentral:snoRNA from 1 species